UCAAACCUGGCCUGACAGCUGAAGGAGUUUCCAGUGAGCAAACAGUAGGUUGCUUUCCUACAAUGCCUUUCUAUUAUAUCAAAUAUACAAGAAUGUUCUUAAUGCUUUAAAUGUGCAGAAAUGAAAAGCAAACAGAAGACACACUCUUGGUCUGCAUCGCUCUGUGCCUUCGUGAAAAAUAAGGCAUUGACUUUCCAGUUUGCAGAAUGGAUUACAACAUCCAUAAAUGGUUUUUAAUGCCUAAUCUUAUGUUCUUAUCCCAGGGCCACUGUCAACAAGAGUCUUGGCAUCAUGAAGUGCUCGCAAGUACAUCACUGAAUCUAAAAUUUGAAAAAGGAAGGAAGGAAGGAAGGAAGGAAGGAAGGAAGGAGAGGAAGGAAGGAAGCUGAGUUACAGGUACCACAAACAGUGGGAAUCGUAAUUUGGAAAAU
rnacentral:lncRNA from 1 species